rnacentral:rRNA from 1 species
UACGUAGGCAGCGAGCGUUGUUCGGAAUUACUGGGCGUAAAGAGUGUGUAGGCGGUGCUCUAAGUUCGGUGUGAAAUCUCCUGGCUCAACUGGGAGGGUGCGCCGGAAACUGGAGUGCUUGAGCGUGGGAGAGGAAAGCGGAAUUCCUGGUGUAGCGGUGAAAUGCGUAGAUAUCGGAAGGAACACCAGUGGCGAAAGCGGCUUCCUGGUCCAGCACCGGACGUCAGGCACGAAAGCGUGGGGAGCAAACAGG